GAUGAACGCUGGCGGCGUGCCUAAUACAUGCAAGUGGAGCGAACGGACGAGAAGCUUGCCUCUCUGAUGUUAGCGGCGGACGGGUGAGUAACACGUGGAUAACCUACCUAUAAGACUGGGAUAACUUCGGGAAACCGGAGCUAAUACCGGAUAAUAUUUUGAACCGCAUGGUUCAAAAGUGAAAGACGGUCUUGCUGUCACUUAUAGAUGGAUCCGCGCUGCAUUAGCUAGUUGGUAAGGUAACGGCUUACCAAGGCAACGAUGCAUAGCCGACCUGAGAGGGUGAUCGGCCACACUGGAACUGAGACACGGUCCAGACUCCUACGGGAGGCAGCAGUAGGGAAUCUUCCGCAAUGGGCGAAAGCCUGACGGAGCAACGCCGCGUGAGUGAUGAAGGUCUUCGGAUCGUAAAACUCUGUUAUUAGGGAAGAACAUAUGUGUAAGUAACUGUGCACAUCUUGACGGUACCUAAUCAGAAAGCCACGGCUAACUACGUG
rnacentral:rRNA from 1 species